GAUAUUAUUGUCAUUAUGAUGAUUGUAAAAUGAGUAACUUUUGACCAUAGAAAAGAGAUCAGGAUAAAGCAAAGGGAAAUGAGCAUGGUAGUGAGAUACAUAUAUGUGAGCUUGUAGGCGGUGAAGAAAAAAGAAGGUUAUUUUUUAUCUUG